GACAGAGGGUGCAACGUUGUUCGGAAUUACUGGGCGUAAAGCGAGUGUAGGCGGUUCGAUAAGUCGGAUGUGAAGGCCCCGGGCUCAACCCGGGAAGUGCACUCGAUACUGUCGAGCUAGAGUAUCGGAGAGGUUGGUGGAAUUCUCGGUGUAGAGGUGAAAUUCGUAGAUAUCGAGAGGAACACCGGUGGCGAAGGCGGCCAACUGGACGAAUACUGACGCUGAGACUCGAAAGCGUGGGGAGCAAACAGG
rnacentral:rRNA from 1 species